CUUCACUUGUCUGUGCCUCAGUUCUGCCAUCUGUAGAACAGGGGUGUUGCCGGUACAUACACUGUUGGGUUGUGAGGAUCCAUGGCAUUGUGUGCCUGGAACUCUGAGUUCUCUAUGUCACAGAGAACCGUGGGAACAAAGUGGAGGCUGGGGCUGCUUCCUGCCCACUGUGCACAGAGCCCACGGGGGAGGGCUGGCUGCGGUUUCUUCCCUGGGAAUGGCCUGUUCCACCAAGGACGGGCGAGUUGAUGUUCCGUGCACGUCCUCCUCAUCUUCUGUCAACUCAUGUACGCUCGUGAUGCUGUCCAAGGUGGGAACUGGAGCCACAAUGGACCUUCUCCUAUUUCAGACGUGGUCCACAGUUCCAGCCAACAGUCUCCCUCAAACUGUGAAAACCGGGCCUCACAAGCCCCUGGGCAUCGCUCAGCCAGGACCAGCAGCCCACCGCCCCUCGGAGAUUAAGAACCUGGGCCCAUCUGCAUGAUUCCUCCUCUGGCCGGUCGUCGGGGGGAUGGACCUGAAGAGUAUCCGAGACCUGCCACAGCCUGGACUGGAACUUAGGGGCCCAGCACCCAACUGCUGUCUCACCGCCUCCACCCCCAGGCCCGCCUAGAGCACAUGACAGCACAGGGUUUCUGUUCAGUGGAAUAAACGUGCUCCUCUUGGAAGCUAA